rnacentral:lncRNA from 1 species
UCAAAGUCCAACUGCAGGAAGGAACAUGUCUAUACCAAAAGCCAAGCAAAUGGUUGGAAAUAAAAGUGGUUCUGAGGAUGGGGCCUGUAGCUGAUGGUACGUGGACCAUCUUGUCACCGCACCAAGCCUCCAUCUCCACAGACUACACCGUCCUUGUCAAAUGGCCAAGGCAAUGACCCUGGCAGCUCAUACAUACAGGCUAGCAUGACAUAUGCCAUGUUUUUUUGGGUGACUCUGGUUGGUGACAUGAACUGCUUCUGCCAAGCGAUCAAGAGGAGAAACUGUUGAAAACCCUUGCUGUGUGUGAGGGACAAGACAAGGCACUGGACCAGUAGCUGGAAUAAACGCCACUGUGGAUACAGGGAAGUGAACUAAGGAUCAGUGAGGAGAGAAUGGUGUUGUGGAAUGAUCCAAGAGAAAGACACCAGAGAACACAGUUUGGAAAGGGCGGAACCUCUAUCUAAUCUCUCAUUGGAGAGAGGUGGCUCAGCUGCUGUGGUCCCAGGCUGGUCAUGUGGUCACCUCCAUGGAAAUGGAACCAUAAACAGUGCCUAUCUGGGAACAUACAGUGAGUUGAUUAUAAAUGUUAUUUUUUUAGGCAGAUCAACCUUCUUCUAUGCUUGGCAUACAUGAUUUUAUGUACAUGUGUUAUUUAUACACCCACCCAAAAGCACUAGAGGCUGUAGGCAAUGAAAAGCAGAUUCACAAUUAAGCAUUAAAAAAUACUCAAAGCCUUGAAGGCUUAGAUGGAGCUAAGUGACUGAGUCUCGUUAACGGCGCCUUAAGUCUCCCAAUCAGAUCCCUGCUUUCGCAGCCUCCCUCACACUCCAGGAAGAUGCAGAGCAUGCGCGCUGCACUUGAGGGAACUCUGGUCAAGGGCAGUACUGGUCCACAGAGGAGUCUCUGUUCCUAAGGAAUACAGCUGAUGUGAGAAAGGCGUCCUCGUUUGGUCUGCUUUUCUCUGGAAUCUUGGAAGCCCUGUCUGUGUGGAAACACAUCCCAGGAAGCAGAGACAACUGGGUGUAGCAAGAAUGUAAAUUAGAGCAAGAUGCAUCAAAGAAAACAUAUCUUCAGACUCGUGUGGGUUUCUUUUUAAUUGGAAUUUAUAAUUGCACCUAAUUAUAGGACAUAUUUUACAUGUUCCCUUUGAGAGGCUGAGAGGGGGUGGAGCCCUGUCCACUCCAGUCACAGGAGCUGUAACCUUGACAUUUUAAUUAGAUAUUAUUUUGAAAUAUGUAAAAGAGAUUUAAUACUCAGCAAAACAUAGCACUGAUUGUGCAGUUUACCCAAGAAAAUAAAAUGAUAUGCAAUUUGAAAAAUAACCAG